rnacentral:rRNA from 1 species
AGGACGAACGCUGGCGGCGUGCCUAACACAUGCAAGUCGAACGGAGUCCAAGCGGUGGCAACACUGCUGAAGACUUAGUGGCGAACGGGUGAGUAUCACGUGAGCAACCUGCCCCGAAGACUGGGAUAACACCGGGAAACCGGUGCUAAUACCGGAUAUCCCCACCGGAUCGCAUGGUCUGGUGAGGAAAUGAAUUUCGCUUUGGGAGGGACUCGCGGCCUAUCAGCUUGUUGGUGGUGUAACGGACCACCAAGGCUUCGACGGGUAGCUGGUCUGAGAGGACGAUCAGCCACACUGGGACUGAGACACGGCCCAGACUCCUACGGGAGGCAGCAGUGGGGAAUCUUGCGCAAUGGGCGAAAGCCUGACGCAGCAACGCCGCGUGAGGGACGAAGGCCUUCUGGGUUGUAAACCUCUUUCAGCAGGGACGAUUGUGACGGUACCUGCAGAAGAAGCCCCGGCAACUACGUGCCAGCAGCCGC